rnacentral:rRNA from 1 species
GACAGAGGAUGCAAGCGUUAUCCGGAAUGAUUGGGCGUAAAGCGUCUGUAGGUGGCUUUUCAAGUCCGCCGUCAAAUCCCAGGGCUCAACCCUGGACAGGCGGUGGAAACUACCAAGCUGGGAGUACGGUAGGGGCAGAGGGAAUUUCCGGUGGAGCGGUGAAAUGCGUAGAGAUCGGAAAGAACACCAAUGCGAAAGCACUCUGCUGGGCCGACACUGACACUGAGAGACGAAAGCUAGGGGAGCAAAUGGG